AGUUUGAUCCUGGCUCAGGAUGAACGCUAGCGGCAGGCCUAAUACAUGCAAGUCGAACGGGAUUGGAGAGCUUGCUUUCCAUGAGAGUGGCGUACGGGUGCGUAACGCGUAUGCAACCUACCUUCAUCAGGGGGAUAGCCCGAAGAAAUUCGGAUUAACACCGCAUAACAUUAUUGGAUGGCAUCAUUUAAUAAUCAAAUAUUUAUAGGAUGAAGAUGGGCAUGCGUGUCAUUAGCUAGUUGGUGAGGUAACGGCUCACCAAGGCGACGAUGACUAGGGGAUCUGAGAGGAUGACCCCCCACACUGGUACUGAGACACGGACCAGACUCCUACGGGAGGCAGCAGUAAGGAAUAUUGGUCAAUGGAGGCAACUCUGAACCAGCCAUGCCGCGUGCAGGAAGACUGCCUUAUGGGUUGUAAACUGCUUUUAUACGGGAAUAAACCUUGAUUCGUGAAUCGAGCUGAAUGUACCGUAAGAAUAAGGAUCGGCUAACUCCGUGCCAGCAGCCGCGGUAAUACGGAGGAUCCAAGCGUUAUCCGGAUUUAUUGGGUUUAAAGGGAGCGUAGGCGGCCUAUUAAGUCAGGGGUGAAAGACGGUGGCUCAACCAUCGCAGUGCCUUUGAUACUGGUAGGCUUGAAUGUAGUUGAGGUAGGCGGAAUGUGACAAGUAGCGGUGAAAUGCAUAGAUAUGUCACAGAACACCGAUUGCGAAGGCAGCUUACUAAGCUAUGAUUGACGCUGAGGCUCGAAAGCGUGGGGAUCAAACAGGAUUAGAUACCCUGGUAGUCCACGCCCUAAACGAUGAUAACUCGAUGUUGGCGAUAUACAGUCAGCGUCCAAGCGAAAGCGUUAAGUCAUCCACCUGGGGAGUACGCCCGCAAGGGUGAAACUCAAAGGAAUUGACGGGGGCCCGCACAAGCGGAGGAGCAUGUGGUUUAAUUCGAUGAUACGCGAGGAACCUUACCCGGGCUUGAAAGUUACUGAAGGUACCAGAGACGGUACCGUCCUUCGGGACAGGAAACUAGGUGCUGCAUGGCUGUCGUCAGCUCGUG
rnacentral:rRNA from 1 species